UGACGAGGAAGUUGUGGGACCUGGAGCAGCAGGUGAAGGCCCAGACUGAUGAGAUACUGUCCAAGGAUCAGAAGAUAGCGGCCCUAGAGGACCUGGUGCAGACCCUCCGGCCACACCCAGCCGAGGCAACCCUGCAGCGGCAGGAGGAACUGGAGACGAUGUGCAUGCAGCUGCAGCGGCAGGUCAGGGAGAUGGAGCGGUUCCUCAGUGACUAUGGCCUGCAGUGGGUGGGCGAGCCCAUGGACCAGGAGGACUCAGAGAGCAAGACAGUCUCAGAGCAUGGCGAGAGGGACUGGAUGACAGCCAAGAAGUUCUGGAAGCCAGGGGACUCAUUGGCACCCCCUGAGGUGGACUUUGACAGGCUGCUGGCCAGCCUGCAGGAUCUUAGUGAGCUGGUGGUAGAGGGUGACACCCAAGUGACACCAGUGCCCGGCGGGGCACGGCUGCGUACCCUCGAGCCCAUCCCGCUGAAGCUCUACCGGAAUGGCAUCAUGAUGUUUGACGGGCCCUUCCAGCCCUUCUACGAUCCCUCCACACAGCGCUGCCUCCGAGACAUAUUGGAUGGCUUCUUUCCCUUAGAGCUCCAGCGACUGUACCCCAAUGGGGUCCCCUUUAAGGUGAUAAGCUGCUCCUCAAACCACACCUUUGGGGAUUUUGAAGGGAGUGGGGAUACACAGCCUCCCCAGGCACCUCCCAUUCUGAGGGGAAGCCACUGCACUCCCUGGGGGACCCCAGUCUGAUGCCCUCCAGGAGGAUAAGUCUGAAGCCGGGCUGGGAAGGGAGCGGAGAGGCCCGAAACAGAGCAGCAGGCAGCGCCCUCUGCUGGCACCCUGGAGACAGCCUCGGCUGCGGGGCCACUGCCUUCUAGUCCUCCCCAGCUUUCAGGACACCUUGACAACCUGGGGUCCCUGCAGAAGUGGCCCGUCUGUCCCCCAAGUCUCCUGAAGCUAUCUGGGUAGGGUGGGAGGCAGUGCUGUGAGCCACAAAUGCAAAGCAUAGGGGACAGAUGUUGGGACUCAAAGACAUAAGGUAGAGCUGGCCCCAUGGGUAGGCGCCAUCACCAGAGCCCAUGAGGCUUCGUGUUCUAGAAGGUGGUGGGUUAGUGCCGCACUGAGGGCGUGUCCGGGAGGGAGCAUGUGUCACCAGGGCUCAGGAAACAGCAUGAGUCAUGACGCGGGGGUGUUUAAGGCAUUCGUGCCACAACGGGGGCCUCGGAGCUAUGCCUUGAUAAGGCAAGUGAGGUUACAUGUACGAUGAUGCGGUUUGUGCUGCAGACUGGAAAAAAGCAGGGGCUUUGUCCUCUCCUGACCCCCUCACACUCUGCCUUCACGGUAGGCUCCUGAGAGGGGGGUCUCCAAGGAGGGUGUCAGUACUGCAGCUUCAGCUGGCGUGGAUGGGGUGCUUACAGGAGCAGCAGGGCUGAGGGAGAUGACAGCAGUACGAACCGUGGCUCUCCUGAGGCCUGGGUUUCCUCAUAUGUAAAAUGGGGGUUGCAUUAGACCAUACCCUUGGCCUGUGUUUAGGCAAAUAGGGAUGAAAGUGGGGCCAAGGGCUGAAGAGCUGGGUCCGCUGCCGUCGUUGCCCUUCUUUCUUGCCAGGUGAGUGACUUGCGCAAUCAGGUCUACCUGGAGGAUGGACUGGACCCCUUCCCAGGCGAGGGCCGUGUGGUGGGCAGGCAGCGGAUGCACAAGGCCUUGGACAGGGUGGAGGAGCACCCAGGUGAGUUUGGCCUCCAGGCUGAGCCAGGGGGCUGGGGGACUGCAGAACAAACUCCGGGGGGCUCCACCACCACUCAUAGUCCUUCCUGGGCCCUGGUUCCCAACUCUCCCUGUAGGUUCCAGGAUGACUGCUGAGAAAUUUCUGAACAGGCUCCCCAAGUUUGUGAUCCGGCAAGGCGAGGUGAUUGACAUCCGGGGCCCCAUCAGGGACACCUUGCAGAACUGCUGCCCAUUGCCUGCCCGGAUCCAGGAGAUUGUGGUGGAGACGCCCACCUUGGCCGCUGAGCGAGAGAGGUGAGGGCAGGAUGAGGAGGUGAGGGCCUGGGGGCGUUGGGUCACCGAGCGCUGAUGGCCUCUGGGCUGUGCAGGAGCCAGGAGUCGCCCAACACGCCGGCACCCCCGCUCUCCAUGCUGCGCAUCAAGUCUGAGAAUGGGGAACAGGCCUUCCUACUGAUGAUGCAGCCUGACAACACCAUUGGGGACGUGCGAGCUCUGCUAGCGCAGGCCAGGUGGGCGCAGGGCAGGGCCAGGGCCACAGAGGGGCUCUGGUCCCACUGCCCAGCUUGAUCUGCUCUGCCUGGUCCCCAGGGUCAUGGAUGCCUCUGCCUUUGAGAUCUUCAGCACAUUCCCGCCCACCCUCUACCAGGACGAUACACUCACGCUGCAGGCUGCAGGCCUUGUGCCCAAAGCAGCACUGCUGCUGCGGGCACGCCGAGCCCCGAAGUCCAGCCUGAAAUUCAGUCCUGGUCCCUGUCCCGGUCCCGGCCCCAGUCCCUGUCCCGGACCCAGUCCCAGCCCC
rnacentral:sRNA from 1 species